AACGAACGCUGGCGGCAGGCCUAACACAUGCAAGUCGAGCGGACCCUUCGGGGUUAGCGGCGGACGGGUGAGUCACGCGUGGGAAUAUGCCCUUCUCUACGGCAUAGUCCUGGGAAACGGGGGGUAAUACCGUAUACGCCCUUUGGGGGAAAGAUUUAUCGGGGAAGGAUUAGCCCGCGUUGGAUUAGGUAGUUGGUGGGGUAAUGGCCUACCAAGCCGACGAUCCAUAGCUGGGUUGAGAGGAUGAUCAGCCACACUGGGACUGAGACACGGCCCAGACUCCUACGGGAGGCAGCAGUGGGGAAUCUUAGACAAUGGGGGCAACCAUGAUCUAGCCAGGCCGCGUGAGUGAUGAAGGCCUUAGGGUUGUAAAGCGCUUGUAGCUGGGAAGAUAAUGACGGUACCAGCAGAAGAAGCCCCGGCUAACUCCGUG
rnacentral:rRNA from 1 species